rnacentral:RNase_P_RNA from 2 species
CGAGCCGGCCGGGCGGCCGCGGCAACGGAACCGCGCGGUGCACCGCGCAGGCCGGAGUCGAGGAAAGUCCGGACUCCACCGAGCAGGGUGGUUGCUAACGGCAACCCGGGGCGACCCGCGGGAAAGUGCCACAGAAAGUAGACCGCCGGCGGCGGUGGACCGCGUGUUCACCACCGCGGGUAAGGGUGAAAGGGUGCGGUAAGAGCGCACCAGCGCCGCAGGUGACUGCGGCGGCUCGGUAAACCCCACCCGGAGCAAGGCCGAAGUCCGCACCGCUGGCCGGUGCGGGUGCGCGAGUGUUCGAGGACUGCUCGUCCGAGCUCGCGGGUUGGCUGCUUGAGGUACCCGGCGACGGAGUGCCCAGAUGGAUGGUCGCCGCUGACCCCGGUCAGCACAGGAUCCGGCUUACAGGUCGGCUCGUUCG